UCCUGUCUGAGUUUAGCUCUCAAUCUGGUGAGAUUCUACCUCCACUUGUUGUGGUUUGUUCUUCCCCAGGUCCCACCAUAGGAACUGGAAUAUCUGGAAUUAUAUUUACAACAUAUACAGGUGGCAAUUCCCAGGGGAGACAGAGUCACUGCUUCCCAGGGUAGAGUCCUUCAUCUUUUCUGUGCUAAGUCUGGGACAAAGGGACUACUAGUUGAAUGCCUAGAAGACUACAUCUGGCCAUUUAAAAGGCCACAGAAACACACAUGCUUUAAAGUUUCCUUAGGUGGAGCCUUAUCCAAGCAUCGAUUUUUGAGUAAGGUGACAAUUGGGAGUUCUGGUUAAAGGUUCAAGAUGGCAGAUUGCAGCUGCAUAAUGUGGGGAAUAUUUUGGCUCAUCGUCCUGGUGUUUUUUGGCUGGCCCUUAAGCAUUGUUUUGGGUGGCCUCUAUGGAUUUCUCUCCCCUCUCUCUACCUUAAUAGGAUUGGAUGACUUCAGUGAAGCACUGCUGAAGGGAGUAAAUCUGGGGAGACAGUGUGCUAAGAAUGUACAAAAUGGCAAGCCCCUUUGCUGAGCAAUAAAUACAGAAUUGCAAGUGACAAACAUUUUACUGUGUACUGCACUGGAUUUCAGAGUUAUUCUAUUAACCUUAAAAUGUUUGCAUUUCUGUACAAAAGUUGUUUGGUUCUUGGAUAAUGUAAAAAUGGUUCUUGAUAAUCUCUGAAGGAAACUAUAGCAAUGCUGCUGUUUGUCUUUUAAAACCAUUCUUCCUGUUUCCGCAAUGAGUAAUGAUGCCAUCUUUACUUGUCUGUGUACACAAAUUGAAAUUAGAGAGAAGCCAGAACUGAAACUCCAGGCCUAAACCUCCAUUUCAUGUUAGGAUUAAUGGCCACCAUUCUCAAAACUUGGUUUCCAAACUGUGGGCUCCCACAUUUGAAAACAUUGUCCCAGAGCUCAAGUUAGUCUAACGGGCCUAAUCAAGAGAUGCCCACAUUUGGAAAGAUGGGAAUCUGCGUUUGAACCCUGUUUGGAGGAAUAUUUGGCUCCUGAAUUUUAUUUGGCCUUGUUAUAAAAUAUGUGAAAGAUAGAUUGGGCGUUCUUGUCAGAUCACUGUUUCUGUUUAGUAUUUAUUCAUCCAUGUAGAUAUUUAAAUGGAUGCAUAGCUUAAUUGUUUAUAGUAGCCAUUAGUUUUCUUUCCACUUUACCAUUUUGUUUAAUGCUAAUUUACUAGGCAUAUUUAUAAUGGCAACUUUGUUUGAGAGUUUGCUACACUGAAAUAUUAAUUUCAAGUAUAUUCAUAAAUCAGUUUUCAUAAAUACAGACAUUAAAGUUUCUUUUGCUUUGCCAUUUUCUUAUUUUAUGAGAUACUAAACUGUAAGCUUGAAACAUUAGCCAGCCAGUUGUCAAGAAUCUUUGAAGACAUGCUAAAAUUUAUGGAAACCAAGUGUUCUAAAAGUUUUCAUUCUGUCUUUAUAUAGCUUAUCUUUCUGCAUAUCUCCUCUCAUAUUUUUGUUACACUGAACAUUUGUAUGGAACAUUAUCUUUGGGUUUAGAAGAGCUUAUCUGUUCCUGCUGCAGCAGACAUUAGUUGGAUGUUACUGAAUGGAUAUUCAUUACAUGGCAAUGUGAAAUUGGCAUAUUGCUUACCUGUGCAUUUCCAGUAAUUGCUUAGAGACACGACCUCUGAAAGCCAAUUGCCCAAUGGUUAAGGCACUCACCUAGGAUGUGGGAGGCCCAUGUUCUAGAGCCUAGUAGUGACUUGGACUUGGUUUUCUUACAGCUCUAACCUCUAGACUAGUGGCUAUUCUGGUGGAUCUCUUUGGUUUGACCAGAAGUUCCAACCUGGACUUGAGAAACAUUCUAAAUUAAAUUUUAAUUGAAACCAGUAUGUUUCUGCAAAAUUUCAGAUUAAAUGAAUUAACAUUUUCUAAUGGCAAAUUGUUUUGUCAAAAAAUUCCUGGCCAGUUCUGCUUUGGUCCAUUACUCUGUGCUACAGUUUCUCCAUCUGUAAAACGGGUAUAAAAAUAUUCCUUCCUCUCACCAUGGUGAUGUGAAAAGAAAUCUAUUAAUGUUCAAGAAGCACUCACACUAUAUUGAUGAGUAGAACUGGGCAAAAGUUUUUUCAGAUGAAUAGUUUAUUUGCUGAAAGAUGCAGUUUUGGGUUGACUGAAAUUAUUUGUGAAUUAGGGUUAAGUUUGUAAAAUAGUUUCAAAAAUACUUUCUUGCCUCCAAAAAUAAAGUAAAAUGUAUAUACAAAAGCCCCCCCACAAAAAUUAAAUAAAAAAUUUGUUUUGCAUCAAACAAAAUAUUUAAUUUGACCUGAAAAGAUUUUUUUUGCCAUUCAGCCACCAAACUGAAAAAAAAUCAAUUAUUCACUCAUCUCUAGUGAUAAGUGUCAAAGAAAGCUUAUAAGGAAAUUAAUAAUUCUGUCUUCAGACUAGGGGUGGAAUAGUGUGCAUUAAAUAAUGCCAGGGGGGACACACUGGACAAUAAGGAUAAAACAAAAUAGUGCAUAACUGCUCUAUCAUUACACACUGAAUGAGGUAAGGGUCCCAAGGAAAAAAUUGUAUGUGACCAUGUAAUUAUAGACUGUAUCAUAAUUAGAGCUGGGACAUUUUUUUCUGGUGAAUAGUAAAUUCACCAAAAAAUGCAUUUUUCAGCAAACAGAAAUGAUUUGGCUAAUUUGUGAAUAGUUCCUUCCAAUUUUUUUGUGGGGUGGGGGGACUGAAGACCCCUUUACAAAAUGGGACUGCUGGUGGUGCCCAUAUAUAACUUACAGCUAGGAUAGGGGAGAUCAGGGAUUCAGUGCUCCCCUCUGCUUGACGCAGAGAAGGGUUUAUGAACUUGCAUCACCUGUAUUGCAGGUGAGCUAACACCUAUUCUGGGGGUGAGUCUCAGUAUCUCCUGUUAAAGCUGUAUAACAAUUGGUCUUUUGAACAGGGAUCUCCCACAUUUCAGGAGAAGGCCUAGGAGAACAUCUAUCACCAGCACCACCACCCUUCUCCUCCUGGUGUUUUGUGAAUCUAGCUUUUAAAAUACAGACAAAAGGUCUGGGUGCAUUGAAAUGUUUUGUUUGAUCUCAAAUUAAUUCUUUUAAUUUGCCAAAAUGUUUUGGCAUUUUAUUUUUUUUAAAUUUUAAAAAUUUUAUUUUGAAUUUUUAUUUUUUGAAACUGCCAGUGAACCAAAAAUUCAAUGAUUUGCCCAGCUUCAAUCCCAAUGUAUACAUACAAGAGGGCCUGUCAAGAUUACUAAUUAGAGCUGGUCUGGAAGUUUUUUGUCCAUAUUAUUUUCCUACCCAAAAAAACCCCCUUUUCGCAAAAUCUAAAUUUUCGGUGGGAAAGUCAAAAUGAUGGCUCCUAGGCUGUGUCCUCCUGGAAGGCGCUUGUCCAUUGCACUUUCUGUUUACAGGCAGAAAAUGUAAUGGACAAGUCCCUUCCAGGAAGGCGGUAGAGGCUGAGUGCCCCUAACUACCUUUUGAAAUACCAUUUUUUCAAAAAGAAAUAAGCAACUGAACACAUGAGUGUAAUGCCUCCCAAUCAUAACUAUAGAAACUCUGUAAUGUCUGUUUCUGAUCUAGGUACAGCAAUAGCAGUAACUCAUAAAAUGAACGCUGAAGUGUAUCAGAGAUUUGUACAUUGCAAAGUGAAUAUAUGAUUGAUACAAUCGAAGCUGUUUUGUCCUGGGGAUUUUGAAGCACUGAUUAUUUCCCUCUUCACUUCUACUUCCAUUACAUGCCUUCUCUGUAUUAUUGUCUCUACCGUUGGGCACUACUAAUGUCAAGGCUAUGUCUGACACUGCCUCAAAACCUUCCUUCAGCCAGGCUCAGAGUCCGAGUGCUGAAGGAGCUUUGCAAAGGACCUAAAAUGGUUCCCUGUGGUUCUUUUCCUCUAUCGGCCUUAGGUACAAAUUAGAGGAUGUUUACAACUCUAACUGAAAUGAAGCUGCCAAAAUCAUCAUAGAGUUCAAUGGGACUGCUCCUGUGAGCAAAGAUACCUCAUGCAUGUUUGCCAGAUUGACUUUUAGUUAUUCUUCCCUUUCUUUUCCUUUACUUUCUUCUUUCCUAUUCUCCUUUUUCUUUCUCAAUUUAUUUUCCUUGUCUUUUUUCUUUUACAUUUCUGGAUGUUUUUUGUUUUUGUUUUGUUAUUUAACACUCACCUUUCUUUGUUGUUGUUUAUAUCAUCCUAUUACUCUUUCCUGUAAGAUUUGGUUGUCCUUUGGCUGGUUUCUUUCAUUUAGGGUUUCACUUAUUUAUUUGAUUUCCCCCCCUCUGUUCCAUCAUCUCCCCUCCCCCCAUUAUUAUGAUCUCUUUUAUUUUAUUGAGUUUCCCUUUGUAGUUAUAAAACUGUAUGUAUGACUUCACCCCAGAAUAAGUGACAGAGGGGAAGCUGCUUGUGCCUCUCCUAUUCAGGGUCUGUGGAGGUCAGUGCAACCCCUCCAUGCAAGCUAGGGCAGUCCUAACUACUGUACCUGUUGCAAUAGUUCCUCUGUGUUAUUGUAGGGGUGCAGAAUUGCCACAGUGCAGGUCUGCCUCACUACACCCCAAUCCUCCACCUCCCUCCUCUGGCUCACAUCUCCUGCACUUCCAAUCCCAGAAUGUUUCUGUGAGACUGUUGUGGAGCGGGUAUUACUCAGGGAGUCUUAUAUCUUCUCUAAGCAGUACAAAGGGGCCUUAGUGCAAGAUAGAGUCUGGCCCAGAGAGUUUAAGUGGCUUACCCAAGGGCACAAAGGAUAUCUGUUUCUGAGCUAAGUAUAGCACCCAGGACUCCUGACUCCCAGUUCCAUAGUUUAACCAGAGGGUCAUUCUUCUUUUGGUAGCAUGAGCUAUCCAAUAGAAUUCCCUCCUACAAGAAGCAUGCCAUGUUGUGUUAGUGGCAGAGGUUAUGCAUUAGCUUGUUGGAUCUGUAUGCCCAUGCUGUAAUUCUGGAGCCUGAACUGAUCCCAAUUCGGCUGAAUGAGGGGUUGAUGCUGAGUGAUGUGGAGCACUUCUGGAUGAUGAACCCUUCUGUGUCUGCUGCAUAACACACCUUGAUUAUGUUCUUGAAUGACAAUGUGUCAGAAUAGGAAUAACACUGGGAUCUCCCACCAGGCAUGCAGAAUUCUGCCACUGGACCGCUUGUGUUUUUGUAAUAACCCUAUUUUUUCCCCAUAUAUUGUCUUUGGGAAUAAGAUUGAUAUUGGUAAGGAAGGGUCCUGAAUUAAUAAAUAUUAUAUAUGUUUAUUAAAAUAAAUAUACUGUACAAGGCAAAGGCAAUAUAUAAAAAUGAAUAUUAAAAAACCAAUAACCUCAGAGAGAGCUUUAAUAAACAUUCUAUUCCAAGACAAGUCCACAUAUAUAGCAUUUAGCUUUUCUUUCUUCACCUUUCCUGCUUUAAACAACUAGGGAUAUUAUCAUGAAAACAAGAGCUUUUUUCCUUUAGAGUUCAUCUACUCCUGCUGCCUAUUCCCCUCAUUAAGUCAUAAGCCGUUUGUGACAUCACAUUAGUUGCUUUGGAAGUAGUGAUGUUUUUACACCUCUUUGCAGGAUCAUGCUCAGUCAAGUUGCAUAAGGGGAAACAAGGGCUUUUUGCAAGGUCCUUGUGAUAUUCAACUUGCUUGUUUGUUUAUGCAUCAGUGCAUUCCUGGAUCAGAGUGACUUCAUUAAAAGGCUGCAGAAAUCUGUGUCUUAAGGUAAGCCUUUUAUUGAU